rnacentral:rRNA from 1 species
AGUGGCGGACGGGUGAGUAACGCGUGAGAAUCUGCCUUCAGGUCGGGGACAACAGAGGGAAACUUCUGCUAAUCCCGGAUGAGCCUUAGGGUAAAAAAUUUAUUGCCUGGAGAUGAGCUCGCGUCUGAUUAGCUAGUUGGUAAGGUAAAAGCUUACCAAGGCAACGAUCAGUAGCUGGUCUGAGAGGAUGAGCAGCCACACUGGGACUGAGACACGGCCCAGACUCCUACGGGAGGCAGCAGUGGGGAAUUUUCCGCAAUGGGCGAAAGCCUGACGGAGCAAGACCGCGUGGGGGAGGAAGGCUCUAGGGUUGUAAACCCCUUUUCUUUGGGAAGAACAAAAUGACGGUACCAAAGGAAUCAGCCUCGGCUAACUCCGUGCCAGCAGCCGCGGUAAUGCGGAGGAGGCAAGCGUUAUCCGGAAUGAUUGGGCGUAAAGCGUCCGCAGGUGGCAAUGUAAGUCUGCUGUCAAAACCCAGGGCUCAACUCUGGUCAGGCAGUGGAAACUACAUAGCUAGAGUUCGGUAGGGGCAAAGGGAAUUCCCGGUGUAGCGGUGAAAUGCGUAGAGAUCGGGAAGAACAUCGGUGGCGAAAGCGCUUUGCUAGACCGAAACUGACACUCAGGGACGAAAGCUAGGGGAGCGAAUGGGAUUAGAUACCCC